UCACCGGUGUCACCUCCGUCGGAACCCCCGCCAUUACUGCCAGCUUUCAUCUCCGUCGUGGUCGAUUAUGGAUGAGAGGAGACGAAGUUGCCUCUGCUAUCAGAGAAUACUCUACUGGUAAGGGUUUUAAUUGUGAUUUAUGUCCUUUUUAGAUUUCGAGAAGGUUUUGAUGCUGCGUGGUUAUUAUAGCUGAUCCACCGGAGCUUCUGGUCGCUACCGGAGCUGCUGUCGGGUCAGUUUGGGAUGGCGACUUGUCCGUUCGGCUGUUAUCGGUUGAGUUUCGAAAAUUGUAUGAUGAAAUGAAAGCUGCUGCGAUGUCGUCUCACUUUGUUUCUCGUGGUAAGUCGUCGUUGCUUUGAACCUCGAUUGUCGCUGUUGGUAUUGCCUGGAAUCACUGAGGUUGCUGCCGCAAGUUAGGAAUAGAAAGAGGACUCUUGACACGUUAACUUUAAAGAGUUCGACUUUGAGGUUACGGACGACGAAGUUCGGAAGAGCUUAGUUCUUUUGUGUUAGACGAUAUUUUGUAUUGUUUUAGUAUUUAUGUUUUCCUCGCCUUUAACUUUGCAAGUUUUGUAAGAGCUAGGAAUAGGAUUUUAAUAUGAGAUGCUUGUAAAUUAAUAUGUAUAUGUAUUUCCUGUGAGUAUUGUACUUUAUAUUGUAAGUAUGAAUGUAUGUUCUUGAAUUAUUCGGUUUAA